rnacentral:rRNA from 1 species
GACGAACGCUGGCGGCGUGCUUAACACAUGCAAGUCGAACGGAAAGGCCCUGCGUUUGUGGGUUGCUCGAGUGGCGAACGGGUGAGUAACACGUGAGUAACCUGCCCUUGACUUUGGGAUAACUUCAGGAAACUGGGGCUAAUACCGGAUAGGAGCUCCUGCUGCAUGGUGUGGGUUGGAAAGUUUCGGCGGUUGGGGAUGGACUCGCGGCUUAUCAGCUUGUUGGUGGGGUAGUUGCUUACCAAGGCUUUGACGGGUAGCCGGCCUGAGAGGGUUACCGGCCACAUUGGGACUGAGAUACGGACCAGACUCCUACGGGCGGCAGCAGUGGGGAAUAUUGCACAAUGGGCGGAAGCCUGAUGCAGCAACGCCGCGUGCGGGAUGACGGCCUUCGGGUUGUAAACCGCUUUCGACUGUGACGAAGCGUGAGUGACGGUAAUGGGUAAAGAAGCACCGGCUAACUACGUG